GGGAAGCAGCAAAGCGGGGAACGCAAAUGGCACUCGCGGCGGAGAGGAGGCCUGGGGGAGGGGCAGGAGUAAGAAAAAGCGGUGGGGGGCUUCUGGGGGACGCUCCGGAGUUUGGGUCAUCUUAAUAUCCUUUAGGUUUUAAGAGGCUUAAAAUUGACUUUUUUUGCGCAUUUUAGAUGUACAUAAAUUCUUUUUUUUAUUCGUCUGUCUUAAUGCUCAAAAUCCUAUUAGAUGCGAUCACAUCGUGUGGCUUCGUGUCCAUAAAAUUUUCAUGAUUUGACCUCAAAUCAGGUAGGAGUA
rnacentral:misc_RNA from 1 species